AGUGGCGGACGGGUGAGUAACGCGUGGGUAACCUGCCUCAUACAGGGGGAUAACAGUUGGAAACGACUGCUAAUACCGCAUAAGCGCACAGGGUCGCAUGGCCUGGUGUGAAAAACUCCGGUGGUAUGAGAUGGACCCGCGUCUGAUUAGCCAGUUGGUGGGGUAACGGCCUACCAAAGCGACGAUCAGUAGCCGACCUGAGAGGGUGACCGGCCACAUUGGGACUGAGACACGGCCCAA
rnacentral:rRNA from 1 species